rnacentral:rRNA from 1 species
UGGGGAAUAUUGCACAAUGGGCGCAAGCCUGAUGCAGCCAUGCCGCGUGUGUGAAGAAGGCCUUCGGGUUGUAAAGCACUUUCAGCGAGGAGGAAGGUGGUGAACUUAAUACGUUCAUCAAUUGACGUUACUCGCAGAAGAAGCACCGGCUAACUCCGUGCCAGCAGCCGCGGUGAUACGGAGGGUGCAAGCGUUAAUCGGAAUUACUGGGCGUAAAGCGCACGCAGGCGGUUUGUUAAGUCAGAUGUGAAAUCCCCGGGCUCAACCUGGGAACUGCAUUUGAAACUGGCAAGCUAGAGUCUCGUAGAGGGGGGUAGAAUUCCAGGUGUAGCGGUGAAAUGCGUAGAGAUCUGGAGGAAUACCGGUGGCGAAGGCGGCCCCCUGGACGAAGACUGACGCUCAGGUGCGAAAGCGUGGGGAGCAAACAGGAUUAGAUACCCUGGUAGUCCACGCUGUAAACGAUGUCGAUUUUGGAGGUUGUGCCCUUGAGGCGUGGCUUCCGGAGCUAACGCGUUAAAUCGACCGCCUGGGGAGUACGGCCGCAAGGUUAAAACUCAAAUGAAUUGAC